AAUAGAUGACGCCGUUGACUUUUUCUCACAUGUUUGAUCUCUCGUCUUAUUAAAAAAAUUUACAUAAUUAUAAUUAAUUUUGUUAUGAGUUGUUUUAUCACUCAUAGUACUUUAAGUGUGAUUUAUAUCUUAUACAUUCGAAUAAAAUUUUUGAAUAAGACGAAUAGUCAAACAUGUGAGAAAAAGUCAACGGCGUCAUCUAUU
rfam:Oryza rufipogon genomic scaffold, chr01